ACUAAUGAGAUGCAAGCUGAAUUUGCAUAAAGGGGAGGACUCCAAUUUUGGGGGGGGUUUAAAGGGACUAAAGCAGUCUCCCAAUUUGAGUUUCCCAAACAGCUCAAUUCUGCAUCAUGGAGUGGUCUCUGCUCUUGGCUGUCUUCUUCUUAUGGUGGACAGGAGCCAACUCACAGUAUACCUUGACUCAACCUGCCACACAAUCGUUUCCCCUGGGAGAAAGAGCAAUGAUCUCAUGUACCAUGAGCCAAGACAGCCGAGUGGGCAGCUAUUUCAUGUCUUGGUACCAACAGAAGGCUGGAGAGAGACCCAAAUUCCUUCUCUAUGACAACAACAACAAUGGCAGAUUCUCGGGGACCAUAGACAGCUCUGCCAAUGCAGCCUAUUUAACCAUUGGAAACCUCCAGGCUGAUGAUGAGGCUGAUUACUAUUGUGGUGGUAAUUACGGCAGUGGGUAUCCACAGUGA